UACGAAGGGGGCUAGCGUUGUUCGGAAUUACUGGGCGUAAAGCGCGCGCAGGCGGCUAUCCAAGUCGUGGUGAAAGCCCGGAGCUCAACUCCGGAACUGCCAUUGAAACUGUUUAGCUGGAGUAUGAGAGAGGUGAGUGGAAUUCCCAGUGUAGAGGUGAAAUUCGUAGAUAUUGGGAAGAACACCGGUGGCGAAGGCGGCUCACUGGCUCAUUACUGACGCUCAUGCGCGACAGCGUGGGGAUCGAAACAGG
rnacentral:rRNA from 1 species